CCCUUCAGUUCUUAAAGCGCUGCAAUUCGCUGCUGCAGCCAUAUUUCUUACUCUCUCGGGGCUGGAAGCUUCCUGACUGAAGAUCUCUCUGCACUUGGGGUUCUUUCUAGAACAUUUUCUAGUCCCCCAACACCCUUUAUGGCGUAUUUCUUUAAAAAAAUCACCUAAAUUCCAUAAAAUAUUUUUUUAAAUUCUAUACUUUCUCCUAGUGUCUUCUUGACACGUCCUCCAUAUUUUUUUAAAGAAAGUAUUUGGAAUAUUUUGAGGCAAUUUUUAAUAUUUAAGGAAUUUUUCUUUGGAAUCAUUUUUGGUUGACAUCUCUGUUUUUUGUGGAUCAGUUUUUUACUCUUCCACUCUCUUUUCUAUAUUUUGCCCAUCGGGGCUGCGGAUACCUGGUUUUAUUAUUUUUUCUUUGCCCAACGGGGCCGUGGAUACCUGCCUUUUAAUUCUUUUUUAUUCGCCCAUCGGGGCCGCGGAUACCUGCUUUUUAUUUUUUUUUCCUUAGCCCAUCGGGGUAUCGGAUACCUGCUGAUUCCCUUCCCCUCUGAACCCCCAACACUCUGGCCCAUCGGGGUGACGGAUAUCUGCUUUUUAAAAAUUUUCUUUUUUUGGCCCAUCGGGGCUUCGGAUACCUGCUUUUUUUUUUUUUAUUUUUCCUUGCCCAUCGGGGCCUCGGAUACCUGCUUUAAUUUUUGUUUUUCUGGCCCAUCGGGGCCGCGGAUACCUGCUUUGAUUUUUUUUUUUCAUCGCCCAUCGGUGCUUUUUAUGGAUGAAAAAAUGUUGGUUUUGUGGGUUGUUGCACUCUCUGGAAUAUCUACACUUUUUUUUGCUGCUGAUCAUUUGGUGGUGUGUGAGUGUACCUACCGCUUUGGCAGAGAAUGACUCUGCAGUUAAGCUAAGGGCGUGUUCAGAUUGUGGAGGAAAAGUGGCCGCCAUUUUAGACUUGCCGCAUAACUCGGCUUAGGGCUAGUCGUUUGUGCUAAGUUAAACUAGGGAGGCAAGAUGGAUGAUAGCAGGUCAGGCAGAGGAAGUCAUGUGCAUUGCAUGAGCUAAACCUAUCUGAAUGAAUUGAUUUGGGGCUUGUUAGGAGCUUUGCGUGAUUGUUGUAUCGGGAGGCAGUAAGAAUCAUCUUUUAUCAGUACAAGGGACUAGUUAAAAAUGGAAGGUUAGGAAAGACUAAGGUGCAGGGCUUAAAAUGGCGAUUUUGACAUUGCGGCAUUGCUCAGCAUGGCGGGCUGUGCUUUGUUAGGUUGUCCAAAAUGGCGGAUCCAGUUCUGUCGCAGUGUUCAAGUGGCGGGAAGGCCACAUCAUGAUGGGCGAGGCUUUGUUAAGUGGUUAGCAUGGUGGUGGACAUGUGCGGUCACACAGGAAAAGAUGGCGGCUGAAGGUCUUGCCGCAGUGUAAAACAUGGCGGGCCUCUUUGUCUUUGCUGUGUGCUUUUCGUGUUGGGUUUUGCCGCAGGGACAAUAUGGCAGGCGUUGUCAUAUGUAUAUCAUGGCUUUUGUCACGUGGACAUCAUGGCGGGCUUGCCGCAUUGUUAAAGAUGGCGGGUUUUGCCGCCUAGUGCCACGCAGAGCGGGAGAAAAGGUGGGAUGGACAGUGCUGGAUUGCUGCAUAACCCAACCAAUUAGAAAUGGGGGUGGAAUUGAUCACAGCCAAUUAGAGCAGAAGAUGGAAUUAGACUGAUGACACACUGUCCAGCUACUCAGCGAAGACCUGGGUGAAUUAGCAUGGCACUUCGCAGCUGUCUUUAGCCAGUCAGGAGAAAGAAGUGGAGGGGCCACGUGUAUGUCUCCCAGUGGGCGGUACACCAGGUGUUUUCAAGGUCUUUUCAAGGACAUUUAGCCUUUCCACCUCUGUCCCCUCUUAUUUGUCCCCUCCUGUCCAGUGCUGCCUCUUGCAGUGCUGGAUAUCUGGCUGUGUGGUCUGAACCUCCCUCCAUUCCUCUGUAUUGGUGCCUCACCUAAGGCUAAGUAUACCUCCCCCCCCACCCCCCAACCCCCCCAACUCCCCACCCCCACCCCCCACCCCCCACCUCCCCACCCCCCUACCCCCCUACCCCCCUACCCCCCUCUGGUCUGCCCUGCACUGCACUGUUGCCAUGGGCAGUGCUCCAGGCCUGCUUGGUGUGGACAUGGUGGUGAGCCGUGGCAAGGACCAGAAUGGAUCACAGAUGAUCGUUGGCCAACAGGUGGCAGAAGAGGAAUUCCUGCCUUCCUCAAGAGGAACACCUACCCCUUGGCUAAUGCUGGGGUCGGAUUUUGAUUUAUAUUUAUCUUUUGGAUGUCAGUCAUACAGUCUGAUUUUGUGGUUUGCUAGUGUUUGAAUUUAAGUCUUAAGUGACUAUUAUAGAAAUGUAUUAAGAGGCUUUAUUUGUAGAAUUCACUUUAAUUACAUUUAAUGAGUUUUUGUUUUGAGUUCCUUAAAAUUCCUUAAAGUUUUUAGCUUCUCAUUACAAAUUCCUUAACCUUUUUUUGGCAGUAGAUAGUCAAAGUCAAAUCAUUUCUAAUGUUUUAAAAAUGUGCUGGUCAUUUUCUUUGAAAUUGACUUAACUAUUUUCCUUUGAAGAGUCUGUAGCACAGAAACAGUAAAAAAUUUAACUUCAUGACCUAAUGUAAAAAAGAGUGUUUGAAGGUUUACACAGGUCCAGGCCUUGCUUUGUUCCCAUCCUUGAUGCUGCACUAAUUGACUAAUCACCUACUUAUCAGACAGGAAACUUGAAUUGCUGUGGUCUGGUGUCCUCUAUUCAGACUUAUUAUAUUGGAGUAUUUCAAUUUUUCGUUGUAUCCUGCCUGCCUAGCAUCCAGUUCCUCCCCAGCCCUGCUCCCAGCAAACCCCUAGUCUAGCCCCAGCCCUACUCCCACCCCGCCCCAGCCCUGCCCCAGCCCCAGUCCCCUAACCCCCCAGCCCUAGCCCCAGUCCCAGUCCUAGUUCCUCAGUCCCGCCCAGCUUCUCUCGAAAGUCACUCUAAUUUUCAUUGAUUCAGUGCUCAAAAUAAGUUGUCCAUUGCUUAUCCUAUUAUACUGGGAUAUUCCGUUUACCCUUGGCAUUGCUGAUCUUCAGUACUGACUCCUUGACCAUUUUCAGUUAAUGCAUACAAUCCCAUUUGUCUGUGAUCUCAGGACAAAGAAUUUCCUUACUCGGUACGUUGAAGUUAGGGAAUGUCAAUUGAGAGCUUUCUAUCAGAGCAUUAUUGCCCACAAUUUGAGUUACUUAUCAUUUUCUCGAUCCCCUGCCCUUAAAGGAGAAACCAUUUCUCUGUCAUUGCUUCUGUAGUCACAGUCCCAAUUUUGAGUAGUGAUCUUUUCUUGUGUACUGUGUUGGCCACCUAAAACUCUUUGCAUUGAGUAAAAUUCUAAUUGCCAAUAAUCCUACCCAUUGGAUUAGACAGCACUCUGAACCCCAUUUGCAUUCAGCAGGGGGUCGCAGACAACCCGUCUUUUGUUGGACAGUUAAAAUGCUCAGUCCCAAUUGUCAUAGCUUUGCCUAUUAAACAAAGGCACCCUACUGCGCUUUUUGCUGUGCUUCUGGAGAAUCCUGCUGUUCUUGGACAAUUAAAGAACAAAGUAGUAAUUGCUAAUUGUCUCACCCAUUAAUCAUGAAGACUACCAGUCGCCCUUGCAUUUGCCUUGAGGCAGCGCUGACUACCUGAGAUUUAAGAGUUUCUUAAAUUAUUGAGUAAAAUCCCAAUUAUCCAUAGUUCUGUUAGUUACACUAUGGCCUUUGCAAACAUCUUUGCAUAACAGCAGUGGGACUGACUCAUUCUUAGAGCCCCUUCCCUUGGAAUAUUAAUGGAUACAAUAGUAAUUAUUCAUGGUUCUGCGUAACAGAGAAGACCCACUUAUGUGUAUGCCUUUAUCAUUGCUCCUAGAUAGUGUGAACUACCUACCACCUUGCAUUAAUAUGUAAAACACUAAUUGCCCAUAGUCCCACUCAUUAGUCUAGGAUGUCCUCUUUGCCAUUGCUGCUGAGUUCUGACUACCCAAGUUUCCUUCUCUUAAACAGUUGAUAUGCAUAAUUGCAUAUAUUCAUGGUUCUGUGCAAUAAAAAUGGAUUCUCACCCCAUCCCACCUUCUGUGGGAUGUUGCUAACGAGUGCAGAUUAUUCAAUAACAGCUCUUGAACAGUUAAUUUGCACAGUUGCAAUUGUCCAGAGUCCUGUCCAUUAGAAAGGGACUCUGUAUCCUAUUUGCACGCUACAAUGUGGGCUGAUCACCCAAGGACUCUUCUUGUGCAUUGAUGUUCAUAAUUGUAUUUGUCCACGAUCUUGUGCACUAACCCUUCCACUCCCUUUGUAUUCCAGCAGGGGACCCUUACUACUCAAGACCUCUGUACUAGGACAGUUUAUGUGCACAAUCCUAAUUGAUUAGAACUGAGUCUUUUAUAUCAAGGUCCCUGCAUCAUCUUUGCUUUACAUCAAGAGGGUGCUGGUUACCUAAUGCCCCUCCUCCAGAAAUUAUUGAUGUGCAAAAUGCAAUUUCCCUAUCUGCUGUUAGUCUGGGGUCUCAUCCCCUCAUAUUCCUUUUGUCUUACAGCAGGGGGUACUUGGGACUGUUAAUGCGCAUAAUUGCAAUUAUGGUCUUUUCCAUUAAAUUAAGAUCCCAACUGCUCACACCCUCUUAGCAUUACAGUAGAGGGUGCUAAUCACAAGGACAUUUCUUUUGUACUGUUAAUGUGCUACUUGCAUUUGUCCCUCUUCCUGUGCACUAAAGACCCCACUCACUUCCCUAGUGUUCAGCAGUGGAUGACCUCUAGUCAAGACCUUUGCACUAGGAUAGUUAAUGUGAACCAUGGCAACUGAUCACAACAAUGUCUUUCAGAUCAGAUCCAUUUUAUCCUCCUUGUUUUACAGCAAGGGAUAUUAAUUACCUAUGUUACCUUUCCCUGGGACUAUGAAUGUGCAAAAUUCCAAUGUUCAUGGUCUCUCCCUUUAAACCUAUAUUCUACCCCUUUUACAUUAUAGAAAGGGAUGCUGGAAACCCAGAGUCCUUCUCUUGGGACUCUUAAUGUGUAUUUCUAAUUAUCCAUGACUCUUAAUGUGCAUAUUUUCAAUUGCCUAAUUGAUUUCAAUUGUCUAAGACAUUUCAAAUGUCUAAUUGAUUAGAACUGAGUCUUUUAUAUCAAGCUAAUAUCUAGCUUUUAUAUCAAGCUAAUAUCUUGACUUCUCAGCAUCAUAGAAGGGGGUACUGAUUUCCUAAAGUCUUUCUUGAAUUUCUAUUAUGCAAAAUUGCCCUGAGGCCGGGUGUGGUGGCUCACACCUGUAAUCCCAGCACUUUGGGAGGCUGAGGUGGGAAGAUCCCUUACUGCCAGGAGUUUGAGACCAGCCUGGCCAACAUUAAAAAAAAAAAAAAGUAAGACAAUUGCCCUGGAAUCCCAUCCCCCUCACACCUCCUUGGCAAAGCAGCAGGAGUGCUAACUAGCUAGUGCUUCUUCUCUUAUACUGCUUAAAUGCGCAUAAUUAGCAGUAGUUGAUGUGCCCCUAUGUUAGAGUAGAAUCCCGCUUCCUUGCUCCAUUUGCAUUACUGCAGGAGCUUCUAACUAGCCUGAAUUCACUCUCUUGGACUGUUAAUGUGCAUACUUAUAUUUGCUGCUGUACUUUUUUACCAUGUAAGGACCCCACCCACUGUAUUUACAUCCCAGCUGGAAGUACCUACUACUUAAGACCCUUAGACUAGUAAAGUUAGCGUGCAUAAUCUUAGGUGUUAUAUACACAUUUUCAGUUGCAUACAGUUGUGCCUUUUAUCAGGACUCCUGUACUUAUCAAAGCAGAGAGUGCUAAUCAAUAUUAAGCCCUUCUCUUCGAACUGUAGAUGGCAUGUAAUUGCAGUUGUCAAUGGUCCUUCAAUUAGACUUGGGUUUCUGACCUAUCACACCCUCUUUGCUUUAUUGCAUGGGGUACUAUUCACUUAAGGCCCCUUUCUCAAACUGUUAAUGUGCCUAAUGACAAUUACAUCAGUAUCCUUCCUUUUGAAGGACAGCAUGGUUGGUGACACCUAAGGCCCCAUUUCUUGGCCUCCCAAUAUGUGUGAUUGUAUUUGUCGAGGUUGCUAUGCACUAGAGAAGGAAAGUGCUCCCCUCAUCCCCACUUUUCCCUUCCAGCAGGAAGUGCCCACCCCAUAAGACCCUUUUAUUUGGAGAGUCUAGGUGCACAAUUGUAAGUGACCACAAGCAUGCAUCUUGGACAUUUAUGUGCGUAAUCGCACACUGCUCAUUCCAUGUGAAUAAGGUCCUACUCUCCGACCCCUUUUGCAAUACAGAAGGGUUGCUGAUAACGCAGUCCCCUUUUCUUGGCAUGUUGUGUGUGAUUAUAAUCGUCUGGGAUCCUAUGCACUAGAAAAGGAGGGUCCUCUCCACAUACCUCAGUCUCACCUUUCCCUUCCAGCAGGGAGUGCCCACUCCAUAAGACUCUCACAUUUGGACAGUCAAGGUGCGUAAUUGUUAAGUGAACACAACCAUGCACCUUAGACAUGGAUUUGCAUAACUACACACAGCUCAACCUAUCUGAAUAAAAUCCUACUCUCAGACCCCUUUUGCAGUACAGCAGGGGUGCUGAUCACCAAGGCCCUUUUUCCUGGCCUGGUAUGCGUGUGAUUAUGUUUGUCCCGGUUCCUGUGUAUUAGACAUGGAAGCCUCCCCUGCCACACUCCACCCCCAAUCUUCCUUUCCCUUCCGGCAGGGAGUGCCCUCUCCAUAAGACGCUUACGUUUGGACAAUCAAGGUGCACAGUUGUAAGUGACCACAGGCAUACACCUUGGACAUUAAUGUGCAUAACCACUUUGCCCAUUCCAUCUGAAUAAGGUCCUACUCUCAGACCCCUUUUGCAGUACAGCAGGGGUGCUGAUCACCAAGGCCCCUUUUCUUGGCCUGUUAUGUGCGUGAUUAUAUUUGUCUGGGUUCCUGUGUAUUAGACAAGGAAGCCUUCCCCCCGCCCCCACCCCCACUCCCAGUCUUCCUUUCCCUUCCAGCAGGGAGUGCCCCCUCCAUAAGAUCAUUACAUUUGGACAAUCAAGGUGCACAAUUAUAAGUGACCACAGCCAUGCACCUUGGACAUUAUUGGACAUUAAUGUGCGUAACUGCACAUGGCCCAUCCCAUCUGAAUAAGGUCCUACUCUCAGAUGCCCUUUGCAGUACAGCAGGGGUACUGAAUCACCAAGGCCCUUUUUCUUGGCCUGUUAUGUGUGUGAUUAUAUUUAUCCCAGUUUCUGUGUAAUAGACAUGAAAGCCUCCCCUGCCACACCCCACCUCCAAUCUUCCUUUCCCUUCCACCAGGGAGUGUCCACUCCAUAUACCCUUACAUUUGGACAAUCAAGGUGCACAAUUGUAAGUGAGCAUAGGCACUCACCUUGGACAUGAAUGUGCAUAACUGCACAUGGCCCAUCCCAUCUGAAUAAGGUCCUACUCUCAGACCCUUUUUGCAGUACAGCAGGGGUGCUGAUCACCAAGGCCCCUUUUCCUGGCCUGUUAUGUGUGUGAUUAUAUUUGUUCCAGUUCCUGUGUAAUAGACAUGGAAGCCUCCCCUGCCACACUCCACCCCCAAUCUUCCUUUCCCUUCUGGCAGGAAGUACCCGCUCCAUAAGACCCUUACAUUUGGACAGUCAAGGUGCACAAUUGUAUGUGACCACAACCAUGCACCUUGGACAUAAAUGUGUGUAACUGCACAUGGCCCAUCCCAUCUGAAUAAGGUCCUACUCUCAGACCCCUUUUGCAGUACAGUAGGUGUGCUGAUAACCAAGGCCCCUCUUCCUGGCCUGUUAACGUAUGUGAUUAUAUUUGUCUGGGUUCCAGUGUAUAAGACAUGGAAGCCUCCCCUGCCCCACCCCACCCUCAAUCUUCCUUUCCCUUCUGGCAGGGAGUGCCAGCUCCAUAAGAACCUUACAUUUGGACAGUCAAGGUGCACAAUUCUAAGUGACCGCAGCCAUGCACCUUGGUCAAUAAUGUGUGUAACUGCACACGGCCUAUCUCAUCUGAAUAAGGCCUUACUCUCAGACCCCUUUUGCAGUACAGCAGGGGUGCUGAUAACCAAGGCCCAUUUUCCUGGCCUGUUAUGUGUGUGAUUAUAUUUGUCCAGGUUUCUGUGUACUAGACAAGGAAGCCUCCUCUGCCCCAUCCCAUCUACGCAUAAUCUUUCUUUUCCUCCCAGCAGGGAGUGCUCACUCCAUAAGACCCUUACAUUUGGACAAUCAAGGUGCACAAUUGUAAGUGACCACAACCAUGCAUCUUGGAAAUUUAUGUGCAUAACUGCACAUGGCUUAUCCUAUUUGAAUAAAGUCCUACUCUCAGACCCCCUUUGCAGUAUAGCUGGGGUGCUGAUCACUGAGGCCUCUUUGCUUGGCUUGUCUAUAUUCUUGUGUACUAGAUAAGGGCACCUUCUCAUGGACUCCCUUUGCUUUUCAACAAGGAGUACCCACUACUUUUUAAGAUUCUUAUAUUUGUCCAAAGUACAUGGUUUUAAUUGACCACAACAAUGUCCCUUGGACAUUAAUGUAUGUAAUCACCACAUGGUUCAUCCUAAUUAAACAAAGUUCUACCUUCUCACCCUCCAUUUGCAGUAUACCAGGGUUGCUGACCCCCUAAGUCCCCUUUUCUUGGCUUGUUGACAUGCAUAAUUGCAUUUAUGUUGGUUCUUGUGCCCUAGACAAGGAUGCCCCACCUCUUUUCAAUAGUGGGUGCCCACUCCUUAUGAUCUUUACAUUUGAACAGUUAAUGUGAAUAAUUGCAGUUGUCCACAACCCUAUCACUUCUAGGACCAUUAUACCUCUUUUGCAUUACUGUGGGGUAUACUGUUUCCCUCCAAGGCCCCUUCUGGUGGACUAUCAACAUAUAAUUGAAAUUUUCUUUUGUCUUUGUCAGUAGAUUAAGGUCAUACCCCAUCACCUUUCCUUUGUAGUACAACAGGGUGUCCUGAUCAACCAAAGUCCUGUUGUUUUGGACUGUUAAUAUGUGCAAUUACAUUUGCUCCUGAUCUGUGCACUAGAUAAGGAUCCUACCUACUUUCUUAGUGUUUUUAGCAGGUAGUGCCCACUACUCAAGACUGUCACUUGGAAUGUUCAUGUGCACAAACUCAAUUCUCUAAGCAUGUUCCUGUACCACCUUUGCUUUAGAGCAGGGGGAUGAUAUUCACUAAGUGCCCCUUCUUUUGGACUUAAUAUGCAUUAAUGCAAUUGUCCACCUCUUCUUUUAGACUAAGAGUUGAUCUCCACAUAUUCCCCUUGCAUCAGGGGCAUGUUAAUUAUGAAUGAACCCUUUUCUUUUAAUAUUAAUGUCAUAAUUGUAUUUGUGGACCUGUGUAGGAGAAAAAGACCCUAUGUUCCUCCCAUUACCCUUUGGAUUGCUGCUGAGAAGUGUUAACUACUCAUAAUCUCAGCUCUUGGACAAUUAAUAGCAUUAAUAACAAUUAUCAAGGGCACUGAUCAUUAGAUAAGACUCCUGCUUCCUCGUUGCUUACAUCGGGGGUACUGACCCACUAAGGCCCCUUGUACUGUUAAUGUGAAUAUUUGCAAUUAUAUAUGUCUCCUUCUGGUAGAGUGGGAUAUUAUGCCCUAGUAUCCCCUUUGCAUUACUGCAGGGGCUGCUGACUACUCAAAACUUCUCCUGGGACUGUUAAUAGGCACAAUGGCAGUUAUCAAUGGUUUUCUCCCUCCCUGACCUUGUUAAGCAAGCGCCCCACCCCACCCUUAGUUUCCCAUGGCAUAAUAAAGUAUAAGCAUUGGAGUAUUCCAUGCACUUGUCUAUCAAACAGUGGUCCAUACUCCCAACCCUUUUGCAUUGCGCCAGUGUGUAAAAUCACAGGUAGCCAUGGUGUCAUGCUUUAUAUACGAAGUCUUCCCUCUCUCUGCCCCUUGUGUGCCCUUGGCCCCUUUUUACAGACUAUUGCUCACAAUCUCAGGUGUCCAUAUUUGCAGCUAUUAGGUAAGAUUGUGCUGUCUCCCUCUUCCCUUCCCUCUGCCCUGCCCCUUUUGCCUCUUUGCUGGGUAAUGUUGACCAGACAAGGCCCUUUCUCUUGGACUUAAACAAUUCUCAGUUGCACUUUCCUUGGUCCCACCCAUUAUACAUGAACCCCUCUACUUCCUUUCGCAUUGCUUCUGAGUAUGCUGACUACCCAAAGCCCCUUCUGUGUUAUUAAUAAACACAGUACUGAUUGUCCCAUUUUUCAGCCCAUCAGUCCAAGAUCUCCCUACCACUUUGGUGUGUUGGUGCAGUGUUGACUAUGAAAAGCAGGCCUGAACUAGGUGGAUAAGCCUUCACUCAUUUUCUUUCAUUUAUUAAUGAUCCUAGUUUCAAUUAUUGUCAGAUUCUGGGGACAAGAACCAUUCUUGCCCACCUGUGUUACUGCUUUACUGUGCAAAAUACUGAAGGCAAGUCAGACCCAGGGAGCUGGAUUGCCAUCCUUUAUUUUGUGUUUCCAGUGUACACUAUAAAAUUGUCUCCCCAGGAAGGAAGGUUGGCACUUUCUCUGCAUUCUUCUUUCCAGAGCAGAUUGCCUGGUUAAGAAUCUCUUGUUGUCCCCUUUGUAUAUUGUUAUUGUAAAGUGCCAAAUGCCAGGAUACAGCCAGAAAAAUUGCUUAUUAUUAUUAAAAAAAUUUUUUUAAGAAAGACAUCUGGAUUGUAGGGUGGACUCGAUAACCUGGUCAUUAUUUUUUUGAAGCCAAAAUAUCCAUUUAUACUAUGUACCUGGUGACCAGUGUCUCUCAUUUUAACUGAGGGUGGUGGGUCUGUGGAUAGAACACUGACUCUUGCUAUUUUAAUAUCAAAGAUAUUCUAGAGUGGAACUCUUAAGACCAGUAUCUUUGUGUGGGCUUUACCAGCAUUCACUUUUAGAAAAACUACCUAAAUUUUAUAAUCCUUUAAUUUCUUCAUCUGGAGCACCUGCCCCUACUUAUUUCAAGAAGAUUGCAGUAAAACGAUUAAAUGAGGGAACAUAUGCAGAGGUGCUUUUAAAAAGCAUAUGCCACCUUUUUUAUUAAUUAUUAUAUAAAAUGAAGCAUUUAAUUAUAGUAAUAAUUUGAAGUAGUUUGAAGUACCACACUGAGGUGAGGACUUAAAAAUGAUAAGACGAGUUCCCUAUUUUAUAAGAAAAAUAAGCCAAAAUUAAAUAUUCUUUUGGAUAUAAAUUUCAACAGUGAGAUAGCUGCCUAGUGGAAAUGAAUAAUAUCCCAGCCACUAGUGUACAGGGUGUUUUGUGGCACAGGAUUAUGUAAUAUGGAACUGCUCAAGCAAAUAACUAGUCAUCACAACAGCAGUUCUUUGUAAUAACUGAAAAAGAAUAUUGUUUCUCGGAGAAGGAUGUCAAAAGAUCGGCCCAGCUCAGGGAGCAGUUUGCCCUACUAGCUCCUCGGACAGCUGUAAAGAAGAGUCUCUGGCUCUUUAGAAUACGGAUCCCAUUGAAGAUACCACGCUGCAUGUGUCCUUAGUAGUCAUGUCUCCUUAGGCUCCUCUUGGACAUUCUGAGCAUGUGAGACCUGAGGACUGCAAACAGCUAUAAGAGGCUCCAAAUUAAUCAUAUCUUUCCCUUUGAGAAUCUGGCCAAGCUCCAGCUAAUCUACUUGGAUGGGUUGCCAGCUAUCUGGAGAAAAAGAUCUUCCUCAGAAGAAUAGGCUUGUUGUUUUACAGUGUUAGUGAUCCAUUCCCUUUGACGAUCCCUAGGUGGAGAUGGGGCAUGAGGAUCCUCCAGGGGAAAAGCUCACUACCACUGGGCAACAACCCUAGGUCAGGAGGUUCUGUCAAGAUACUUUCCUGGUCCCAGAUAGGAAGAUAAAGUCUCAAAAACAACCACCACACGUCAAUGGUGUCUCUAGUGACUCAUCAAGUGAUAUUUGGCAAGACAUUUUCCCAUUUAUGCCAGUUUCCUAUUCUGUUGAAUGAGGAAAUUUUCUCUCUAAAGACCUAAAAGUUUUGACUUUAUAGGUUUCAAAGUUCUGUGGAAACAUUUUCUAUUGCUUAUUAAUUUGAAUCUUAUGUAACUCUAGCACAGUACUCAAUAUUUAUGGCAUUUACAUGGUUUAUCUCAUGUUUUUUUAUAGCUCUUCAUUGUUCCUAUCUGCCAAAUCAUUAUACUUCCUACAAGCAGUGCAGAGAGCUGAGUCUUCAGCAGGUCCAAGAAAUUUGAACACACUGAAGGAAGUCAGCCUUCCCACCUGAAGAUCAACAUGCCUGGCACUCUAGCACUUGAGGAUAGCUGAAUGAGUGUGUAUUUCUUUGUCUCUUUCUUUCUUGUCUUUGCUCUUUGUUCUCUAUCUAAAGUGUGUCUUACCCAUUUCCAUGUUUCUCUUGCUAAUUUCUUUCGUGUGUGCCUUUGCCUCAUUUUCUCUUUUUGUUCACAAGAGUGGUCUGUGUCUUGUCUUAGACAUAUCUCUCAUUUUUCAUUUUGUUGCUAUUUCUCUUUGCUCUCCUAGAUGUGGCUCUUCUUUCACGCUUUAUUUCAUGUCUCCUUUUUGGGUCACAUGCUGUGUGCUUUUUGUCCUUUUCUUGUUCUGUCUACCUCUCCUUUCUCUGCCUACCUCUCUUUUCUCUUUGUGAACUGUGAUUAUUUGUUACCCCUUCCCCUUCUCGUUCGUUUUAAAUUUCACCUUUUUUCUGAGUCUGGCCUCCUUUCUGCUGUUUCUACUUUUUAUCUCACAUUUCUCAUUUCUGCAUUUCCUUUCUGCCUCUCUUGGGCUAUUCUCUCUCUCCUCCCCUGCGUGCCUCAGCAUCUCUUGCUGUUUGUGAUUUUCUAUUUCAGUAUUAAUCUCUGUUGGCUUGUAUUUGUUCUCUGCUUCUUCCCUUUCUACUCACCUUUGAGUAUUUCAGCCUCUUCAUGAAUCUAUCUCCCUCUCUUUGAUUUCAUGUAAUCUCUCCUUAAAUAUUUCUUUGCAUAUGUGGGCAAGUGUACGUGUGUGUGUGUCAUGUGUGGCAGAGGGGCUUCCUAACCCCUGCCUGAUAGGUGCAGAACGUCGGCUAUCAGAGCAAGCAUUGUGGAGCGGUUCCUUAUGCCAGGCUGCCAUGUGAGAUGAUCCAAGACCAAAACAAGGCCCUAGACUGCAGUAAAACCCAGAACUCAAGUAGGGCAGAAGGUGGAAGGCUCAUAUGGAUAGAAGGCCCAAAGUAUAAGACAGAUGGUUUGAGACUUGAGACCCGAGGACUAAGAUGGAAAGCCCAUGUUCCAAGAUAGAUAGAAGCCUCAGGCCUGAAACCAACAAAAGCCUCAAGAGCCAAGAAAACAGAGGGUGGCCUGAAUUGGACCGAAGGCCUGAGUUGGAUGGAAGUCUCAAGGCUUGAGUUAGAAGUCUUAAGACCUGGGACAGGACACAUGGAAGGCCUAAGAACUGAGACUUGUGACACAAGGCCAACGACCUAAGAUUAGCCCAGGGUUGUAGCUGGAAGACCUACAACCCAAGGAUGGAAGGCCCCUGUCACAAAGCCUACCUAGAUGGAUAGAGGACCCAAGCGAAAAAGGUAUCUCAAGACUAACGGCCGGAAUCUGGAGGCCCAUGACCCAGAACCCAGGAAGGAUAGAAGCUUGAAGACCUGGGGAAAUCCCAAGAUGAGAACCCUAAACCCUACCUCUUUUCUAUUGUUUACACUUCUUACUCUUAGAUAUUUCCAGUUCUCCUGUUUAUCUUUAAGCCUGAUUCUUUUGAGAUGUACUUUUUGAUGUUGCCGGUUACCUUUAGAUUGACAGUAUUAUGCCUGGGCCAGUCUUGAGCCAGCUUUAAAUCACAGCUUUUACCUAUUUGUUAGGCUAUAGUGUUUUGUAAACUUCUGUUUCUAUUCACAUCUUCUCCACUUGAGAGAGACACCAAAAUCCAGUCAGUAUCUAAUCUGGCUUUUGUUAACUUCCCUCAGGAGCAGACAUUCAUAUAGGUGAUACUGUAUUUCAGUCCUUUCUUUUGACCCCAGAAGCCCUAGACUGAGAAGAUAAAAUGGUCAGGUUGUUGGGGAAAAAAAAGUGCCAGGCUCUCUAGAGAAAAAUGUGAAGAGAUGCUCCAGGCCAAUGAGAAGAAUUAGACAAGAAAUACACAGAUGUGCCAGACUUCUGAGAAGCACCUGCCAGCAACAGCUUCCUUCUUUGAGCUUAGGUGAGCAGGAUUCUGGGGUUUGGGAUUUCUAGUGAUGGUUAUGGAAAGGGUGACUGUGCCUGGGACAAAGCGAGGUCCCAAGGGGACAGCCUGAACUCCCUGCUCAUAGUAGUGGCCAAAUAAUUUGGUGGACUGUGCCAACGCUACUCCUGGGUUUAAUACCCAUCUCUAGGCUUAAAGAUGAGAGAACCUGGGACUGUUGAGCAUGUUUAAUACUUUCCUUGAUUUUUUUCUUCCUGUUUAUGUGGGAAGUUGAUUUAAAUGACUGAUAAUGUGUAUGAAAGCACUGUAAAACAUAAGAGAAAAACCAAUUAGUGUAUUGGCAAUCAUGCAGUUAACAUUUGAAAGUGCAGUGUAAAUUGUGAAGCAUUAUGUAAAUCAGGGGUCCACAGUUUUUCUGUAAGGGGUCAAAUCAUAAAUACUUUAGACUGUGGGCCAUAUGGUUUCUGUUACAUAUUUGUUUUUUAAACAACGUUUUUAUAAGGUCAAAAUCAUUCUUAGUUUUUGAGCCAAUUGGAUUUGGCCUGCUGUUCAUAGCUUACCACCCCCUGAUGUAUUAUUUGUUAUUCAGAGAAAAUUUCUGAAUACUACUAGUUUCCUUUUCUGUGCCUGUCCCUGUGCUAGGCACUAAAAAUGCAAUGAUUAUUGAUAUCUAGGUGACCUGAAAAAAAAUAGUGAAUGUGCUUUGUAAACUGUAAAGCACUUGUAUUCUACUGUGAUAAGCGUUGUGGAUACAAAGAAAGGAGCAAGCAUAAAAAAGUGCUCUUUCAAAAGGAUAUAGUACUAUGCAGACACAAGGAAUUGUUUGAUAAAUGAAUAAAUUAUAUGUAUAUUUGAGGCCAAUUUGUGUUUGCUGCUCUGGUAAUUUUGAGUAAAAAUGCAGUAUUCCAGGUAUCAGAAACGAAAACACAUGGAAACUGCUUUUAAACUUUAAAAUAUACUGAAAACAUAAGGGACUAAGCUUGUUGUGGUCACCUAUAAUGUGCCAGAUACCAUGCUGGGUGCUAGAGCUACCAAAGGGGGAAAAGUAUUCUCAUAGAACAAAAAAUUUCAGAAAGGUGCAUAUUAAAGUGCUUUGUAAACUAAAGCAUGAUACAAAUGUCAAUGGGCUACAUAUUUAUGAAUGAAUGAAUGGAUGAAUGAAUAUUAAGUGCCUCUUACAUACCAGCUAUUUUGGGUACUGUAAAAUACAAGAUUAAUUCUCCUAUGUAAUAAGAGGAAAGUUUAUCCUCUAUACUAUUCAGAUGUAAGGAAUGAUAUAUUGCUUAAUUUUAAACAAUCAAGACUUUACUGGUGAGGUUAAGUUAAAUUAUUACUGAUACAUUUUUCCAGGUAACCAGGAAAGAGCUAGUAUGAGGAAAUGAAGUAAUAGAUGUGAGAUCCAGACCGAAAGUCACUUAAUUCAGCUUGCGAAUGUGCUUUCUAAAUUAUAAAGCACUUGUAAAUGAAAAAUUUGAUGCUUUCUGUAUGAAUAAAACUUUCUGUAAGCUAGGUAUUGUCUCUACAAAAUUCUCAUUGUAUAGUUAAACCACAGUGAGAAGGGUUCUAUAAGUAGUUAUACAAACCAAGGGUUUAAAUACCUGUUAAAUAGAUCAAUUUUGAUUGCCUACUAUGUGAACUCACUGUUAAAGGCACUGAAAAUUUAUCAUAUUUCAUUUAGCCACAGCCAAAAAUAAGGCAAUACCUAUGUUAGCAUUUUGUGAACUCUAAGGCACCAUAUAAAUGUAACUGUUGAUUUUCUCACUUGGUGCUGGGUACUAGGUUUAUAAAAUUGUAUGAUAGUUAUUAUAUUGUGCAAAUAAAGUAGGAAAAUUUGAAUAACAAUGAUUAUCUUUUGAAUACGCAUACGCAAGGGAUUGGUUGUCUGAAGAAUGCCACUAUAGUAGUUAUCUAUUGUGUGCCAAUCUCAUUGCUAGGCAUUGGGGAUGCAAAGAUAAACCAUCUUUAUUGUGUCUUGGGUAGCAGAAGAAAAUAUGUGUAAAAUCAAUUUAUAAUUUGUAAACUGCCACCCAUAUAUAAGCUAUAUCUGCUGAAUGAUCAUUGAUUACUCUUAUCCUUAGAGAUAACAACUGGGGGCACAAACAUUUAUUAUCAUUAUUGAACCUACAACAGAGAUCUAUGUGUAGAUUUACAAAGCCUACAGUUCUAUACAGAUAGGAAUGAACUAUUGGCUUACUGAAUGGUGAUUACUUUCUGUGGGGCUCGGAACUACAUGCCCUAGGAUAUAAAAAUGAUGUUAUCAUUAUAGAGUGCUCACAGAAGGAAAUGAAGUAAUAUAGGUGUGAGAUCCAGACCAAAAGUCAUUUAACAAGUUUAUUCAGUGAUGAAAACAUGGGACAAAUGGACUAAUAUAAGGCAGUGUACUAAGCUGAGUAGAGAGAUAAAGUCCUGUCCAGAAGAUACAUGCUUCCUGGCCUGAUUGAGGAGAUGGAAAAUUUUUGCAAAAAACAAGGUGUUGUGGUCUUCCAUCCAGUUUCUUAAGUGCUGAUGAUAAAAGUGAAUUAGACCCACCUUGACCUGGCCUACAGAAGUAAAGGAGUAAAAAUAAAUGCCUCAGGCGUGCUUUUUGAUUCAUUUGAUAAACAAAGCAUCUUUUAUGUGGAAUAUACCAUUCUGGGUCCUGAGGAUAAGAGAGAUGAGGGCAUUAGAUCACUGACAGCUGAAGAUAGAAGAACAUCUUUGGUUUGAUUGUUUAAAUAAUAUUUCAAUGCCUAUUCUCUGCAAGGUACUAUGUUUCGUAAAUUAAAUAGGUCUGGCCCAGAAGACCCACUCAAUUGCCUUUGAGAUUAAAAAAAAAAAAAAAAAGAAAGAAAAAUGCAAGUUUCUUUCAAAAUAAAGAGACAUUUUUCCUAGUUUCAGGAAUCCCCCAAAUCACUUCCUCAUUGGCUUAGUUUAAAGCCAGGAGACUGAUAAAAGGGCUCAGGGUUUGUUCUUUAAUUCAUUAACUAAACAUUCUGCUUUUAUUACAGUUAAAUGGUUCAAGAUGUAACAACUAGUUUUAAAGGUAUUUGCUCAUUGGUCUGGCUUAGAGACAGGAAGACAUAUGAGCAAUAAAAAAAAGAUUCUUUUGCAUUUACCAAUUUAGUAAAAAUUUAUUAAAACUGAAUAAAGUGCUGUUCUUAAGUGCUUGAAAGACGUAAACCAAAGUGCACUUUAUCUCAUUUAUCUUAUGGUGGAAACACAGGAACAAAUUCUCUAAGAGACUGUGUUUCUUUAGUUGAGAAGAAACUUCAUUGAGUAGCUGUGAUAUGUUCGAUACUAAGGAAAAACUAAACAGAUCACCUUUGACAUGCGUUGUAGAGUGGGAAUAAGAGAGGGCUUUUUAUUUUUUCGUUCAUACGAGUAUUGAUGAAGAUGAUACUAAAUGCUAAAUGAAAUAUAUCUGCUCCAAAAGGCAUUUAUUCUGACUUGGAGAUGCAACAAAAACACAAAAAUGGAAUGAAGUGAUACUCUUCAUCAAACAGAAGUGACUGUUAUCUCAACCAUUUUGUUAAAUCCUAAACAGAAAACAAAAAAAAUCAUGACGAAAAGACACUUGCUUAUUAAUUGGCUUGGAAAGUAGAAUAUAGGAGAAAGGUUACUGUUUAUUUUUUUUCAUGUAUUCAUUCAUUCUACAAAUAUAUUCGGGUGCCAAUAGGUACUUGGUAUAAGGUUUUUGGCCCCAGAGACAUGGGAAAAAAAUGCAUGCCUUCCCAGAGAAUGCCUAAUACUUUCCUUUUGGCUUGUUUUCUUGUUAGGGGCAUGGCUUAGUCCCUAAAUAACAUUGUGUGGUUUAAUUCCUACUCCGUAUCUCUUCUACCACUCUGGCCACUACGAUAAGCAGGUAGCUGGGUUUUGUAGUGAGCUUGCUCCUUAAGUUACAGGAACUCUCCUUAUAAUAGACACUUCAUUUUCCUAGUCCAUCCCUCAUGAAAAAUGACUGACCACUGCUGGGCAGCAGGAGGGAUGAUGACCAACUAAUUCCCAAACCCCAGUCUCAUUGGUACCAGCCUUGGGGAACCACCUACACUUGAGCCACAAUUGGUUUUGAAGUGCAUUUACAAGGUUUGUCUAUUUUCAGUUCUUUACUUUUUACAUGCUGACACAUACAUACACUGCCUAAAUAGAUCUCUUUCAGAAACAAUCCUCAGAUAACGCAUAGCAAAAUGGAGAUGGAGACAUGAUUUCUCAUGCAACAGCUUCUCUAAUUAUACCUUAGAAAUGUUCUCCUUUUUAUCAUCAAAUCUGCUCAAGAAGGGCUUUUUAUAGUAGAAUAAUAUCAGUGGAUGAAAACAGCUUAACAUUUUACCAUGCUUAAGUUUUAAGAAUAAAAUAAAAAUUGGAAAUAAUUGGCCAAAAUUGAAAGGAAAAAUUUUUUUAAAAUUUCUCUAAAUGUAGGCCUGGCUGGGCUUUGACCUUUUCCGUUUUUAAAUCACUCACAGAGGGUGGGACAGGAGGAAGAGUGAAGGAAAAGGUCAAACCUGUUUUAAGGGCAACCUGCCUUUGUUCUGAAUUGGUCUUAAGAACAUUACCAGCUCCAGGUUUAAAUUGUUCAGUUUCAUGCAGUUCCAAUAGCUGAUCAUUGUUGAGAUGAGGACAAAAUCCUUUGUCCUCACUAGUUUGCUUUACAUUUUUGAAAAGUAUUAUUUUUGUCCAAGUGCUUAUCAACUAAACCUUGUGUUAGGUAAGAAUGGAAUUUAUUAAGUGAAUCAGUGUGACCCUUCUUGUCAUAAGAUUAUCUUAAAGCUGAAGCCAAAAUAUGCUUCAAAAGAAGAGGACUUUAUUGUUCAUUGUAGUUCAUACAUUCAAAGCAUCUGAACUGUAGUUUCUAUAGCAAGCCAAUUACAUCCAUAAGUGGAGAAGGAAAUAGAUAAAUGUCAAAGUAUGAUUGGUGGAGGGAGCAAGGUUGAAGAUAAUCUGGGGUUGAAAUUUUCUAGUUUUCAUUCUGUACAUUUUUAGUUAGACAUCAGAUUUGAAAUAUUAAUGUUUACCUUUCAAUGUGUGGUAUCAGCUGGACUCAGUAACACCCCUUUCUUCAGCUGGGGAUGGGGAAUGGAUUAUUGGAAAAUGGAAAGAAGAAAGUAACUAAAAGCCUUCCUUUCACAGUUUCUGGCAUCACUACCACUACUGAUUAAACAAGAAUAAGAGAACAUUUUAUCAUCAUCUGCUUUAUUCACAUAAAUGAAGUUGUGAUGAAUAAAUCUGCUUUUAUGCAGACACAAGGAAUUAAGUGGCUUCGUCAUUGUCCUUCUACCUCAAAGAUAAUUUAUUCCAAAAGCUAAGAUAAAUGGAAGACUCUUGAACUUGUGAACUGAUGUGAAAUGCAGAAUCUCUUUUGAGUCUUUGCUGUUUGGAAGAUUGAAAAAUAUUGUUCAGCAUGGGUGACCACCAGAAAGUAAUCUUAAGCCAUCUAGAUGUCACAAUUGAAACAAACUGGGGAGUUGGUUGCUAUUGUAAAAUAAAAUAUACUGUUUUGAAAACUUU
rnacentral:lncRNA from 1 species